rnacentral:rRNA from 1 species
AUACGGAGGAUCCGAGCGUUAUCCGGAUUUAUUGGGUUUAAAGGGAGCGUAGGCGGACUAUUAAGUCAGCUGUGAAAGUUUGCGGCUCAACCGUAAAAUUGCAGUUGAUACUGGUCGUCUUGAGUGCAGUAGAGGUAGGCGGAAUUCGUGGUGUAGCGGUGAAAUGCAUAGAUAUCACGAAGAACUCCGAUUGCGAAGGCAGCUUACUGGACUGUAACUGACGCUGAUGCUCGAAAGUGUGGGUAUCAAACAGGAUUAGAUACCCUGGUAGUCCACACAGUAAACGAUGAAUACUCGCUGUUUGCGAUAUACGGCAAGCGGCCAAGCGAAAGCAUUAAGUAUUCCACCUGGGGAGUACGCCGGCAACGGUGAAACUCAAAGGAAUUGACGGGG